rnacentral:rRNA from 1 species
GACGAACGCUGGCGGCGUGCCUAAUACAUGCAAGUCGAACGCAGUGGGGACGGGUGAGUAACACGUGGGUAACCUCCCAUCAGAGGGGAUAACACUUGGAAACAGGUGCUAAACCGAUACUGAUGGAUGGACCCGCGGUGCGUUAGCUAGUUGGUGAGGUAACGGCUCACCAAGGCCACGAUGCAGAGCCGGCCUGAGAGGGUGAUCGGCCACACGGAGACUGAGAGACGGCGCAGACUCCUACGGGAGGAAGCAGUAGGGAAGCGUCGGAAAUGGACGAAAGUCUGACCGAGCAACGCCGCGUGAGUGAAGAAGGUUUUCGGAUCGUAAAGCUCUGUUGUUAGAGAAGCGGUAGCUAACGAGAAAGCGACGGCUAACUACGUGCCAGCAGCCGCGGUAAUAC